rnacentral:tRNA from 1 species
UAUGAUUUAAGAAAGGAAGGAUUCGAACCCCCUGAAAUUGGUUUCAAGCCAAUACCAUAA